ACCGAUGUAUACGCCUUAUUCAGCCCGCCGCAAUUUUGAAUCGAAAACGAGGCUGUGAGGGUAAACCGGAAAUAACAACAACUAAACAUGGCUGUGUGGACUACGAACCUGUCAUAUCUUCCUCCUCUUACGCUCAAUGUUGUGGAGUCAUGGGUGGACGAAGGAUCAAAAAUUCCCAGGUCUAUCCUCCUGAAGGGUUACAGCAACUGGGUCGAGGGUUAUAUCCAUGAUGUUGAAGGUGGAGCUGUCUUCAGAAAACCCUUUUAUCCGAGACACCCACUGCACUUGUAGAGCAGGAUUGGGGCACUGUAAUCAUUUACUAGGACUACUUUACACACUGGCUCACUACCUAAAAAUGGAGCAUAAAUCUGUACCACCAAGAGCAAGUAAAACCUCUUUGCCUCAAACAUGGCAUGUGCCAUCAAGAACAUUAGGACUAAAGCCAAAGCCAAUCAGCACAGUAUCGGUUUCCAAAGUAAAAC